rnacentral:lncRNA from 1 species
UUUGGCACUAUUCAUUUGUAUAUUUUUCUUUUUUAUGUCUUCCAAAGGCAUUUGAGUUUUGACUUGAAGUUUUGCACGUUUGUAGAGCAUCACACUUCCAACAAAUGUGUUUUUGUAGAAUCUUAAACCGUAGAAGUCGUUCUCACUUGAUAUGUUGCCAUAUUCCAAACGAAUACUAUGGAUAACUUUUAUGCUAGCAUGAAGACAAUUUUUUUAAUAUUUUGCAGCAAUUGAGUUCUUACAAAAUGAUCUUCUUUCUCAUUACCAUAUCCACUUCUCCAUCAUGUGUUGAUGUGACACACUGGCCUACGGCUUAAUAGGAUUGAUAGAAUUCUCUCAACAAGGUAUACCUUUUUUUUCCGGAAGCCCAUCCGAAAAGAACAUCAAAGUUAAGCGUGCUUGGCUGAGAGCAAUUUGAGGAUGGGUGACCGAACGGGAAGUUUCUUCCGGGAGCGCAUGAGUGAGGACAAAAUGCGCUGGAAAGACAUGUGUUGGUCCGUGAGGCCAGUCUUGGAACCUAGAGAGCUGCGCCAUGAGUGACGCUGGGGUGUUACAGUUGAUGAUACUCCUAAUGGACGUAGAGUGCUACCGAUCGUGCAACAACAAUAGACACAGAGCAAGUUAGCUCAAUUUGAAGGUUCAUGGUGAUGUCCAGAAGAAAAAACCGCUAUAACAAUUGUGUGUGGA